rnacentral:lncRNA from 1 species
CGUGAACCCGGGAGGCGGAGCUUGCAGUGAGCCGAGAUCGCGUCCAGACCUGGGUGACAGAGCGAGACUCCCUCUCAAAAAAAAAAGAAAAGCAAGCUCUCAUCACCCCAGCCUCCUGGGGCUUGUAGGAUGAAAUGUAACUUUAAGGCCCAACGUGCUUUUCCAGCAUACGGACUCUUCCUGCCAGCGCACCCUGGGCUUCCUUGUACUGUAUUAAUUCCUGCCCCUGUGCCUUUGUGCAUACUCUUCCUUCUGCUUAGGUGGAGCAUAGGAAAGUAAAGUCAAAAUUCGGGUUCCCUGUACUCCUGUAAGCCUUCCCUGCCUCCCUUAGGCAAACCAGUAAUUUCCUAACUUCCUCCUCUGCUCACUCAUGUCGUGCUGUAAUUUUUAAUUCGUUUUCAUCUUUUUUCUCAACUAGACUCCUCAAAGGCAGCGACCACAUUGUUCUUUGUCUCUGGGAUCCAGUAGUGUUGAAUGAGCUGCUAUCAUCUCUUCUCGAGAUGUGGAGUGAUCUUGGCUCCUCACUAUCAUACUCCCUUAUGUGGUCCUUUGUACUGACCUGAGCAAUAAUGAUGCUGAAGGCCCCACUGUUCGCUGCCAGCCCACAGAGAAGAAGUCUAUGCCAGAGAACGAGUGACCAGAAGAGGCUAUGCUCACAGAAGUCAGAGAAGCAGAGUCUUCAGGAAGGGAGAACAUCGGUGUCCACCAAGCAGAGAUACCUCAUGAGAUAGAUUGAAGUGUGGCCCCUGGAUUUCAGAAAUGGAUGUCAUCUGUCCAUGGAGGAGUAGGGUAAGAAGCUGCAUUGCAGUAGGCUGAAGGGUGUCCUUGGAAGCCUAGAAACUGACAGUAGCUAUAGAUGACUUCUAGAAGAUGAGCUGAAAUAAGAAUGUGAAACAAACUCAACCACUAGGAAUCAAAUCCAAAUUAAAAGGAGACACCAUUUCACCUCUUAAAUUGGCAGAAAAAUACUUUUAAUAAUACUUGAUAAUGAGGAUGUCAAGAAAGGAAUAUGACUUGUUACAAGCAUUCCAAAUGGGAUUUUAUGGUAGGUUUCAAGAGCAAUAGAUUUUUGCCCAUUCUUUGCCAUAGUAAUCCCAGCUCAACUCAGUCUAUUUAAGUAAUUACUGAUAGAUGCAAAGAUUUUAGACACAAGAAUGUUUAUCACAGUGUUCUUUUUAAUAUUUAAAAUUGAAAACCUAUAAAUUAUUGUCUAUCCAAACCAAAAGCAGCAACUAAAAAUGGGUAAUGAACUAGAAAUAUGAUGUGUUUUUAGUGAAAAAAGCAGGUUACAAAACAUUCUUUUCUAAAUUAUGUAUGUACAGCCUGAUGUCAUUAUUGUUUUUGUUUUUUUGAGACUGGGUCUUGCUCUGUCAUCCAGGCUGGAGUACAGUGGCAUGAUCAUGGCUCACUGCAGCCUCGACCUCCCAGGUUCAAGCGAUCCUCCCACCCUCACUCUCCUGAGUAGCUGAGCCUACAGGCAUGUACCACCAGGCCCAGCUAAUUUUAAGUUUUUUUUUUUUUUUUAGAGUUGAGGUCUUGCUAUGUUGCUCAUGCUGGUCUCAAAUUCCUGGCAUCAAAUGAUCCUCCCACCUCAGCCUCCCGAAGUGCUGGGAUUACAGGCGUGAGCCAUGGCACCUGUCCUCAUUUUUUAUUUUUAAUAAAACAUGUAAAGAUUGGAUGGCUAUCAGAGUCAAUAUGGUUAUGGGGGUAUAAUAUGGAUGAUGUAUUUUUUUUUAUGUUACCCAGGUUUGUUAUAUGGUAUAUAGCAUGAUGCUGAGGUUUGGGGUGUGAAUGAUUAUAUCACUCAGGCACUAAGCAUUGUACCCAGAAGGUAGGUUUUCAGCCCUUGACUCACUCCCUCUCUCUUCCAUCUAGUAGUCCCCAAUAAAUACAUAUUUAUUGAGUCUUCUGGGUCCACUGAGGACACAAUCAUGAAAAAGAAAACUAUGUCCCCAUCCUGGAGGUGUUUACAUUCUGGUGACAAAACUAAUUGAAGCAGUUCUGAUUGAUGUUUUGAGAGCUUAUGAUAAGAAGCUUGGCAGAGGCCGGGCAUGGUGGCUCACACCUGUAAUCCCAGCACUUUGGGAGGCUGAGGCAGGUGGAUCACUUGAGGUCAGGAGUUGAAGACCAGCCUGGCCAACAUGUGAAACCCUGUCUCUACUAAAAAUAACAAAAAUUAGCUGGGCGUCAUGGCACACUCCUGUAAUCCCAGCUACUUGGGAGGCUGAGGCAGGAGGGUCACUUGAGCCCAGGAGCUGGAGGUUGCAGUGAGCCAAGACUGUGCCACCACUCAACAGAGUGAGACUCCGUCUCAAAAAAAAAAAAAAAAAAAAAAAAAAAAAAAGCUUGUCAGAGAAAUAAAUGAGAAAUUAAAAGAUGGUAAGUGGAGGCCCCAGAGUGAAGGGAAGUGUUUUUGGUUUUAGGAAUAGGAGAGUCUAGUGUGUUUAGAGGUUUAGGGGAAGGAUCCAGGAGAGGCAGCAGAGAACUGAAGGGUGUAUGUGUGUGUGGAGCAGGGAGGUGGGGGUGGUGAGGGUGGGAGAUGGAGGGGAGAAGGAGCCCAGAUAAAUUUAGCUUCCACCAGGAGCAGGAUGCCUCUUCCUCUGCUGGUGCUAUAGGAAGGUUGCCAAUGGGCCGGGUGCGGUGGCUCAUGCCUGUAAUCCUAGCACUUUGAGAGCCCAAGGUAGGUGUAUCACGAGGUCAGGAGUUCAAGACCAGCCUGGCCAGUAUGGUGAAACCCUGUCUCUACUAAGAAAAUACAAAAAUUGGCCAGUGACGGUGGCUCGCACCUGUAAUCCCAGCACUUUGGGAGGCCGAGGCGCGUAGAUCAGGAGGUCAGGAGGUCAGGAUUUCAAGACCAGCCUGGCCAAGAUGGUGAAACCCCAUCUCUACUAAAAAUACAAAAAUUAGCUGGGCAUGGUGGCUCGCGCCUGUAGUCCCAUCUACUCAGGAGGCUGAGGCAGGAGAAUCGCUUGAACCCGGGAGGUGGAGGUUGCAGUGAGCCGAGAUCGUGCCACUGCACUCCAGCCUGAGAGACAGAGUGAGACUCUGUCAAAAAAGAAAAAUUGCCAGUGGAGAUAAAGGUGUCCAUUUGGGUAGGUCAGGAAGCUGUGGUAUUCAUGCCUCAUGGCCUUCAUUUUCUUAGAGCGUAGGGUAAAAUCAUGCCAUUUUUUGCCUCUGUGCCUCAUAAGUUUGUACUCCUUCCUCCUUUAAAAAUCAGCUGUAAGAGCUGGAUGUGCUGUAAGGGCUGGACGUGGUGGCACAUGCCUGUAGUUCCUACUUGGGAAGCUGAGAUGGGAGGACCACUUGAGUCCGGGAGGUUGAGGCUGCAGUGAGCUAUGAUUGCACCACUGCUCUCCAGCCUGGGUGACAGAGCAACACCUUGUCUCUUGGGAAAAAAAAAAAAAAAAAAAAUCAGCUCCAGACCCCUGCCUUUGUGAACCUUUUCUUGAAGGAAAGAGUGUGGGUUGGGGCCACUUCCAGUGGAAUCACCAGGAGGGGAGUGGAGGGAGGAGGGAAGGUGCUCAGAAUAAACAUUCAAUGUCCCUGAGCAUUCCUAGAUCAACCGGAUCAGGAUCUCUGAAGGAUGGGGCUCAAAGAUUGGCAUUUGAAAGAACACCCGUGGGGAUCCUGAUGGUGCAAUAAAGUUGUAGAACCACCUCACUAAGUGCUCCCAAUUCCUUUUACAAUUCUCUAUUAUUGCAAUUUAAUCCUUUCACUUCCCCCACUGGGCUGCCCUUGGGCAGGAGUAGGUGUCUUUGUUUACAUACUUGUAGCACAGCCCUGCAGUUGGCUAUCAUAGUGGGCUUUGGGUGCUUAUUUGUGAAAUGAAUGAUGUGUACAAAACUGGAACCCAGAUGUCCUGAUUCCCAGACUCAUAAUUUGCUCUAUCACAUUUUAUCUCUAGAAGCUGCUGAAUUCCUCAGGAAGGCAUUUCCUGGUCCAACUGUGCCUAAAACUCAUAUGCCAAUUUAAAAAGCACAAAUCCACAUAGAAAGAUUCUCUGAAGAAGGAGACAGUGUAUGGGGGAUUGGUUGCUCUAAGGAAGAUUAGAAAAUGAGGUCACCUGAAAGUGAAGGGAGCGGGAUGCACACAAAGUAACAAGCCCCUGGAGCAGGUCUGUUCCAAGUGUGUCACCCAGGUCUCCCCCAAAAACCAUCAAGGAGUUAGAAACAUACUGUGGAAAAGAUCCCUAGAAUGUAACAGUUAAGAAGCUGGAUGCUCAGGAGGUAAUGAGUCAUAGAAUGCUUGUGUGUGGACUGCAUGGAAUCCAGAAAAGGGGAAGCCAUAGGUUAGAAAUUAUAGCGUCUCAGCUGGGCACGGUGGCUCACGCCUGUAAUCCUAGCUCUUUGGGAGGCUGAGGUGGGUGGAUCACCUGAGGUCAGGAGUUCGAGACCAGCCUAGCCAACAUGGCUUCACCGUCUCUACUGAAAAUACAAAAAUUAGCCAGCGUGGUGGCGGACGCCUAUAAUCCCAGCUAUUCAGGAGACUGAGGCAGGAGAAUCGCCUGAACCCGGUGGGGUGGAGGUUGCAGUGAGCCAAGAUCGCGCCACUUCAUUCCAGCCUGGGUGAAAAAGCAAAACUCUUGUCUCAAAAAAAAAAAAAAAAAAGAAGAAGCAAUUAGAAUUUAUAGAGUUGUUGUAAUAUCCAAAGGUAUAGAUGCUCUGAUACCACUGGGUAGUGCUGUUAAUUUAGAAAGAACUGGUCCAAAAGAAUGCGAAUUCAUCUUAGGAGAAAUGGGUGUUUCCACUAAGAACAGCUCAUCCCUUUUCUUUAAUCAUUUAGUAACUCUUUAUAGAUUACCUCCAAUGUGUCAGGGGCUGUAUUCACUGUGUCUUGCCGGAGAUAUGACAGUGGGCAAAACAGGUACAGGACGUACCCUUGAGAACUCACAGUAUUAUUCUUGUUUAUUCAUCAGGUUUCUAACCUGUAAUUUGAUAUGCUUUGUGGAUUUGCCUGGCACUCUGAGCAAAUGACCAAAACCAAUUAUUCUGCCAGGUAGGCCUCUGUUCUCACGUUAAUAACAUUCUAGUUGUGAGUCAUUUAUGACUUCGAUGAGAGAGUAUAAAACAAACAGUUCCAUUAGGGGUUGGUUUUUCCCUGGACAAAUGGGUACAGAGCUGGGCCUGCUGAUGAGCUCAGCAAGAAGUCCCCACCCUGGGAAGCCCUGCCAACUGCCAGCACCUUGUAUUCAGCAGGCUCUCAGCCACACACAGGCUAAGUCACAGCCCCUGGCCCCAUUAGGAAUGUGUGUAUCCUUUCCUGCCUGAAUGGCCCACUGAGAGGUCGUUGGGAAAAUUCUUGGAGCGUCGGAUUCCUGGAUGUCUUGAAUUCCAAAGAGCUUGAAUCAGCACAAAGCUUAGGGCCCAGGGCUGUAUUUUAAAGGAAGACGCAGCAGGGGCAGGUGAUGGUAAAUAGAGGAGAGUGAACAUGGCGGGAACAGACUUCAGGCUGCACCUGUGACUGAGGACAGCCCCCAAAUUCUUAGUUCUGAGAGAAACCCCUGAGGGCCAAAAACAGCAUGCUCAGUUCCUGGUAAUUCCUUAAAAACAGGCUUCUAUCAGACCUGGCUCUAAAAAAACAUUCACUCAGGCUGGAUCCAGGUUUGGGGCCCUGAG